rnacentral:rRNA from 1 species
UUAACCUGGUUGAUCCUGCCAGUAGUCAUAUGCUUGUCUCAAAGAUUAAGCCAUGCAUGUCUAAGUAUAAGCACUUUAUACUGUGAAACUGCGAAUGGCUCAUUAAAUCAGUUAUAGUUUACUUGAUAGUACCUUACUACUUGGAUAACCGUGGUAAUUCUAGUGCUAAUACAUGCUGCAAUCCCCGACUUUUG